rnacentral:tRNA from 1 species
GGCUACAUAGCUCAGUGGUUAGAGCACUGGUCUUGUAAACCAGGUGUCGUGAGUUCAAAUCUCACUGGAGCCU